GCCAGUGUGGUGUAGUGGUUUGCGUGUUGGACUAUGAAUUUGGAGUCAAGGGUUCGAAUCCCCGCUCAGGUA